rnacentral:tRNA from 1 species
AAUGUGUUGGCUAAAUUGGUAUAGCGGUGUGCUACGGCCACAAUGGUUAUAAGUUCAAAUCUUAUACACAUUA